UUGUAAAGCACUUUCAGUUGUGAGGAAGGUGGUGUCGUUAAUAGCGGCAUCAUUUGACGUUAGCAACAGAAGAAGCACCGGCUAACUCCGUGCCAGCAGCCGCGGUAAUACGGAGGGUGCGAGCGUUAAUCGGAAUUACUGGGCGUAAAGCGCAUGCAGGUGGUUUGUUAAGUCAGAUGUGAAAGACCCGGGGCGUCAACCUCGGAAACUGCAUUUGAAACUGGCAGACUAGAGUACUGUAGAGGGGGGUAGGAAUUUCAGGUGUAGCGGUGAAAUAGCGUAGAGAUCUGAAGGAAUACCGGUGGCGAAGGCGGCCCCCUCGGACAGAUACUGACACUCAGAUGCGAAAGCGUGGGGAGCAAACAGGAUUAGAUACCCUGGUAG
rnacentral:rRNA from 1 species